UGGUUGCCAGCUUGCCACGUAGUGUGGGCUUCAUCGGCCUUGGGGCAAUGGGCAAUGGAAUGGCCAGUAACCUCGUCCGGAAGGGAGUAGCAUUACAGGU
rnacentral:SRP_RNA from 12 species